rnacentral:tRNA from 1 species
AGCAGGUUGGCCUAGUGGAUAGGACAUCUGUCUGGGAGUCAGAAGACCCUGGGUUCUAUUCCCAGCUCUACCA